AGAGUUUGAUCCUGGCUCAGGAUGAACGCUAGCUACAGGCUUAACACAUGCAAGUCGAGGGGCAGCAUGGUCUUAGCUUGCUAAGGCCGAUGGCGACCGGCGCACGGGUGAGUAACACGUAUCCAACCUGCCGUCUACUCUUGGACAGCCUUCUGAAAGGAAGAUUAAUACAAGAUGGCAUCAUGAGUCCGCAUGUUCACAUGAUUAAAGGUAUUCCGG
rnacentral:rRNA from 1 species